GGACACCACCUGUGGGGGAUAGGAGACAGGAAAGGCAGGAAGCGUCGGUCCUGGACCCAGCCCCGGAAAAGAGGGAACGUGGCGUCGAAGUUGUCCAGGAGAGCCUACGGUAAUCUGGGACCAUCUCAGCUGGCCAAGAAUGAUCAGCACAUCUGGUUUCCUCAUCCAAGCAAGAUUGAUUCAGCAAGCCUGGAUCCACCAGCUGAUCCUAGCUCCAUCUCUGAUUCUCCCAGUGGCCCCCAGCCGGCAGUGCCCCCCAGCAAUGAUGAGAUCACUGUGACCCAUUUCACUGGUCAGCCUCUCUUUCUCUCCCUCCCUCCCUCCUUCCUUCCCUCCCUCUCCCCAGCAGGGAAAUCUUAGUCAACCCCACAGGAGUGACAGCUAUGGAAUUGACGGAACCUUCUUCUCACU